GCACACUGUGUACACGAGGGGGGCAUGUGAAGCACACGAUAUUGGUCACGGGCAACUUGAAUAACCAACACCCCUCGAUCUGACGCAAGCCCUGUAGCAAGACUACACAUAAUAACGCUUUAUAAGUCAUUCAGAGUCAAAUUAGGGUCCCUUAUAUCAGCAUCAAAAAGUGAUUUCACUUGAAAAUAUUGAUAAGGACUGCAUUUAAAAGGACCACAAGAGUCCUAAAAUAAAGUCUGCGAUGGCUUCGACACCCUCCGCUUCAGCCCUAUCGGCUGUUCUCCGGUGUCAGGGGAAUAUCCUUGCCCGAAAACAGGCGAACCAGAAGCGGCCUCGAGCUUCAGCUCACGGGCUCGGGAUGAUGACAUAUGGGGAUUCGGUCAAAUCUUAUUUUCGCUCUCUUUGGGGAUUCUUAUUUCACAGGAAGCGAGUGGAUAUUCCCGGCAGUUCUGUCCGUGACAGCGCGAUUUGAAACGUCCUGCUCAGGAAAAUCUGCCGAUCAGAAAUUGUGAAUCCAAAGAUCAUCUGGUCAGAAAGUUUGACAACAAAAUGUUAACUAUGAAAGCAUCCAGUGCAAGCCAGUGGCCAAAGACGAAAGUGAUGUCGGACUAUAGUUUUUCUUUUAAAUCUCAACGCUAUAGUGUUUCAUCCAAAACCAAUCUGGUGCUUCGACUGGAUGCCUCGCAUUUAGGAAAACUAAACUCGGAUAAUCCAUGGACUUUAUGCAUUUGUGUAGUUUGCGCUCAGAGUAUAAGCACACUGGACCACGGUAGUGUGAAUCCGUUGUUUUCUCUCGGCUUGUUAUGGUCUUUAAAGGAUAAACUGAUCAAUUUUACAACCACAGUUUCAGACAGUGUGCGGACUCACCUUGGAAAACACGGGAACCAGCUUCAUCCGGAUUAUAAGUUGAGUGGGUGUGUCAAAUGUACCUCUGAACAUCAUGAGGAUCAACCUAAAACAUUGGAAGGACCUGAACCUGGGGAAUGAGUCUUCAGCUAUAACACUUCACACAAAUGCACUUUUAUACCCAUGAUGGAUGGAUGGAUAGAUAGAUAGAUAGAUAGAUAGAUAGAUAGAUAGAUAGAUAGAUAGAUAGAUAGAUAGAUAGAUAGAUAGAUAGAUAGAUAGAUAGAUAGAUAGAUAGAUAGAUGUUCUUUCAUGCACUGUCUUGUUCACUUCAGCUUUAUUGAAUUAUACUGCUGUGUUUUAUACAAUUUAUACUUUUGCCAAAUGUUUUGCACCAGAAUUUCCCUUUAGGGAUAAAGAAGCUAUAAAUAUAACCAAAACUGCUGACCAUGAGCUGCCUUUAUGUUCAGAGGUAACUCAUGCUGCAAUGCAUGUUUGACUUUGUGUCUAUUAAUACAUAGGUCACUUGUUAACAGGUGUGCUGCUAUUCAUUAAAAUAGCAUUUUUGCUCCUCUGAUAAGUCUUAAUAAAACAACAGAAUCGA